rnacentral:piRNA from 1 species
GGCAGACCAAUGGGGUCACUACGCA